UACGAAUCGUCCAAACGUUGUUCGGAUUUACUGGGUUUAAAGGGCGCGUAGGCGGUGCGCUAAGUCGGUGGUGAAAUACUUCGGCUCAACCGGAGAAUUGCCGCUGAAACUGGCGUGCUCGAGGGAGGUAGAGGUGCGUGGAACUUCCGGUGGAGCGGUGAAAUGCGUUGAUAUCGGAAGGAACACCUGUGGCGAAAGCGAUGCACUGGACCUCUUCUGACGCUGGGGCGCGAAAGCCAGGGGAGCGAACGGG
rnacentral:rRNA from 1 species